AUGCCCAACUAAGUAGUACUCUUUGGUCUUCUGGGGACUUUGGUCUUUCCUUCUAUGAUGAUGACGCCCCAUCUUGUUAAUCACCGGGUCCAUUUUUCAUGGAGCAGAAGAGACCUCUGCGGAAAAUUCGGCUCCCGGUAAAAACCUCCUGCACAUCUGGAUCUAAAGUUAUCAGAUAAAAAGUUGGUCUUGCAUCACCACCUAGUCUUUACGGACUUAUCAGCCUCAUCGCCUUCAGCAGUCAGCAGCCUCAGAGUCAUCAGCCACCACCACCACCAGUGUCUAAAAUCCAUGGGGGGGGGAAUUUAUCCUGCUGCCGCUCAGAUGUCCCUCGAUGACAAAAUAUCUCCUUCUGGUGUCCAAACACCAAGCACCUCUGUUAAAUCUUCACCAGCACAAAUCACCUGUUAAUCUGCACACUCAUAUUCUGUAUUAAAUAAUGUCUUUACCCCA